CAAUUAAAUUUUUUGAGACAGAAUCUCACUGUCACCUAGGCGGGAGUCUUCUACCUUUGUUCUUCUGUUUCAGGAUUAUUUUGGCUAUUCUAUAGCCCCUGAAUUUCCAUAUAAAUUUUAGGAUCAUUUGUUAAUUUCUGCCACAAAGGCAGCUGGGAUUUUGACAGUAAUUGUAUUGAAUCUGUGGAUAAACUUGGGGAGCCAUCUUAAUGAUAGUAACUUCUCUGAUCCAUGAACA
rnacentral:lncRNA from 1 species